rnacentral:rRNA from 1 species
CCGUAGGUGAACCUGCGGAAGGAUCAUUAUCGAGUUUUGACUGGGUUGUAGCUGGCCUUCCGAGGCAUGUGCACGCCCUGCUCAUCCACUCUACACCUGUGCACUUACUGUGGGUUUCAGAUGCCGUUAGCGGGCCUUCGCGGGGUCGUGAAAGCGUCUGGGCCUGCGUUUAUUACAAACUCUUAUCAGUAUCAGAAUGUGUAUUGCGAUGUAACGCAUCUAUAUACAACUUUCAGCAACGGAUCUCUUGGCUCUCGCAUCGAUGAAGAACGCAGCGAAAUGCGAUAAGUAAUGUGAAUUGCAGAAUUCAGUGAAUCAUCGAAUCUUUGAACGCACCUUGCGCUCCUUGGUAUUCCGAGGAGCAUGCCUGUUUGAGUGUCAUGAAAUCUUCAACCUAUAAACCUUUGCGGGUUUAUUAGGCUUGGACUUGGAGGCUUGUCGGCCCAGCUGGUGUCGGCUCCUCUCAAAUGCAUUAGCUUGAUUCCUUGCGGAUCGGCUCUCGGUGUGAUAAUUGUCUACGCCGUG